AGACCCGAAACCCGGUGAUCUAGCCAUGGGCAGGUUGAAGGUUGGGUAACACUAACUGGAGGACCGAACCGACUAAUGUUGAAAAAUUAGCGGAUGACCUGUGGCUGGGGGUGAAAGGCCAAUCAAACCGGGAGAUAGCUGGUUCUCCCCGAAAGCUAUUUAGGUAGCGCCUCGUGAAUUCAUCUCCGGGGGUAGAGCACUGUUUCGGCUAGGGGGCCAUCCCGGCUUACCAACCCGAUGCAAACUGCGAAUACCGGAGAAUGUUAUCACGGGAGACACACGGCGGGUGCUAACGUCCGUCGUGAAGAGGGAAACAACCCAGACCGCCAGCUAAGGUCCCAAAGUCAUGGUUAAGUGGGAAACGAUGUGGGAAGGCCCAGACAGCCAGGAUGUUGGCUUAGAAGCAGCCAUCAUUUAAAGAAAGCGUAAUAGCUCACUGGUCGAGUCGGCCUGCGCGGAAGAUGUAACGGGGCUAAACCAUGCACCGAAGCUGCGGCAGCGACGCUGAUGCGUUGUUGGGUAGGGGAGCGUUCUGUAAGCCUGCGAAGGUGGCCUGUGAGGGUUGCUGGAGGUAUCAGAAGUGCGAAUGCUGACAUAAGUAACGAUAAAGCGGGUGAAAAGCCCGCUCGCCGGAAGACCAAGGGUUCCUGUCCAACGUUAAUCGGGGCAGGGUGAGUCGACCCCUAAGGCGAGGCCGAAAGGCGUAGUCGAUGGGAAACGGGUUAAUAUUCCCGUACUUG
rnacentral:rRNA from 2 species